GUACAACUGGUUCAAUUAUGUUAUACUGGUCCAACUAAUUAUACUGGUAUUACUAGUUAUACUAAUUUUUAUUAGUUAUACUUAUGUUGUUGUACUGAGUUCACUUAUGUAGUUGUACUGAGUUAUACUAGUAAUACUUAUUUAGUUGUGAUAUUAGUAAUACUUAUAUAGUUGUACCGAGUUUUACUAGUAGUACUUACGUAGUUGUACUGAAUUCUACUGAAUAAGUUAUAAUUAGUUGUAUCGAUACAAUUCUACCAAAUUAUACGAGUUCUACUGAAUCCAGAUCCACAGAUAAAAUCAAAGAAACGCACAACAAAAUACAAAAAUUAUAGAUCCAUAACUUCCAUAGAAUAAGAAACAGACUUAAAUAUCUAGAAAAAUACAAAAUCGAAGAAAAACAAAAAGAACCCUAAAUCAAAGAAAACCCAGAUUCUUCAUAAACAUUGUUUUUGUUUCGUUGCCGCCUUAAGAACCCUAAUUCGAAAAAUCAUAGAUCUAAAAAUCUCAAGCAAAGCUUCCAUUUUAGUUUCCGUCGUCUUCUCUACCUUUUUUUCAGGUUGAAUCGCGGUGGUUUGUGGCAGAGAAAUAGAGAAAGAAGAGAGGAAAGUUACGGAGAAAGAAAGUGAAACACUGCUUUCCAGAGAGAAAAAUAAAAGUGAGGAAGAGAGAAAGAAGAAUCUGAAAAAUAAAAGUCGGAGGAAGAGAGAAGGAAGAAUCUGUUUUGGUAUAUUAUUAGAGUUAAAAACAUUUACGUACUUUAGUUAUUUUCUGAAUUAAAAAUAAAUCAAAACAAAAUUAAUAAUAUAACAAGGAGUU
rnacentral:lncRNA from 1 species